CUCUUCGGGGAUGAUUAAACCGGCGCACGGGUGAGUAACACGUGAGUGACCUGCCUUUUAGACUGGAACAACAUACCGAAAGGUGAGCUAAUGCCGGAUGAGUUAUAUAAGUGCAUGUUUAUAUAGGAAAAGUUGGGGAGACCUGACGCUGAAAGAUGGACUCGCGUCCCAUUAGCUAGUUGGUAGGGUAAUGGCCUACCAAGGCGACGAUGGGUAGCCGGCCUGAGAGGGUGGCCGGCCACACUGGGACUGAGACACGGCCCAGACUCCUACGGGAGGCAGCAGUGGGGAAUUUUGCGCAAUGCUCGUAAGAGUGACGCAGCGACGCCGCGUGAAUGACGAAGGCCUUCGGGUCGUAAAGUUCUUUCGACAGGGAAGAAAAUGCCUAUAAGUAACUGUGUAUGUAUUGACGGUACCUGUAUAAGCAGCCCCGGCUAACUCCGUGCCAGCAGCCGCGGUAAUACGGAGGGGGCGAGCGUUGUUCGGAGUGACUGGGCGUAAAGAGCACGUAGGCGGUGUUGUAAGUCAUUAGUCAAAGACUAGAGCUCAACUUUAGUAAGGCUAGUGAUACUAUAAUACUAGAGUAUCAGAGAGGAUUGCAGAAUUCCUGGUGUAGCGGUGAAAUGCGUAGAUAUCAGGAGGAAUACCGUUAGCGAAGGCGGCAAUCUGGCUGGAAACUGACGCUGAGGUGCGAAAGCGUGGGUAGCAAACAGGAUUAGAUACCCUGGUAGUCCACGCUGUAAACGAUGGAUGCUAGGUGUUGGGCUUUUAAGUUCAGUGCCGCAGCAAACGCGAUAAGCAUCCCGCCUGGGGAG
rnacentral:rRNA from 1 species